AUUCAAAAUUACUUUGUGCCGAGUGAGGUUGAUUCUCCUGGGGUACAACAUUUGGAGUCCCCAGAGAGAUCACCGCGAGGUCCCCCUCCCUUUGGGGUGGACCUCCUGGGACUAGUGAAGGAAGCCUCCAUAUCCUUCGCCUUAAAUUGGCUUUCGAUUUGACCAGGAGCUUUUUAAAUCCGUCCGGGGACGGGUGGAGGAUGGGGCAAGCCCACGCGAAGGCCCGAACCCCGCUGCAAUGCCUGCUGAGUCACUGCUCUGAUUUCUUUAAGGCUCCUGUGACUAGGGGAAGCCAGCAGACCCAGGCUUCCUCAGGACCUGUGUGAAUUAGAGCGGCUCACUUUUGGGAGAUCAUUCAAGUGCUGGCCACUGCCACUCCAGGCCAGCCCCCACUUCAAGUUCCACAAGACGUUGGCCAUCAAUCCUGCCAGCCUGCCUCCAGAUGAUGACCCGGAGAAAGCUCUGCAGGACUACCUGGAGGCAGUCGACACUGUAGAUGGCCGACCAGACCUCAGGGAUGACCCACUGCCAUCAUCAGAUGAGGUAUUGUUCACGGACGGGAGCAGUUAUGUCCAGGAAGAAAUCAGUUCUUGCAGGCCCUGCAGUCUGCCCAGAGGCUGUCCAUAAACACAUCUGGGAUGCCAUGCCUGUGCCCACCGCGGACCCUGUGCACCCUUUCCAGCCCGGGGACUCAAUGUAGGUAAAGAAAUUCACCACCCGGGGACGAACUCCAGCCUGGAAGGGACCAUACGCUGUCAUCCUGCCUGCACCAAUGGCUGUCAAGGUCAACGGCAUCCUGGUCUAGCUGCACCACUCCUGGCUGAAGGCGGAAAAAGCAGAAUGGACGGUGCAGACCUCUCCAGAUCCCUUAAAAAUGAGACUCUUGCGUUUAUCGGGACUCUAAUUUUUCUGAUUAUGACUAUACAGGGGAAUCUUUAUAGAUCUAGGCCCCAGUGGAACUGGGAACUUAGAAAUAGGAUAUUAGGGGAGGUCUUAAGAAAUGUCACCACAAAGGGGAUAGAAAAACCUAUAUUCAGUUUCAAACUAUGUGAUCUCAUGAGAGGUCAUAGGCACAGAUAACAUUACUGAAGAUUGAUGUCAUAUAGAAAGGCCCCUACCCUGGGCUUAUAGGACAUCUACAGGGGAAUGGGAACUAUGGGGGUAGGAACCUAUGUAUGCCAAGGGAGUGGUACUGUCACCACAAGUUACUUAAAUACAAAUCAAUAGUUUUGUCCAUCUUGAGGUUGUGAAACCAUAUUUACUACUAAGGACUAUCUAAGAAGCAGGGACCCUCAUUCAGGUUUUAGAAGGUUAACCAAGACCAAGGGUUUCCCUAUAGAAAAUCUGACCCCAUGCAGAUUACUGUCAUUAGUCAGCCAGACCUUUAUUAGGCCACAGGAAGGUCAUAGGGGCUGACUGCUGGUUAUGCCCAAAUUCGAGGCCACCUUAUUAUAAAGGGCUAGGCCUCUCCGAACCAAUUUCCCAGACCCCAUACGCUGACAACUGUACAUGGGACCAGCCCAAGUUAACUUUGGGGACUACCCAAAGGCAAGGGACUUGCAUAUGCCCAGCUAAGUAUAAGCGUGAGCAGUACAAAGCAGAUGAGGUUUAGAUCUCCCUUUCCUGAAGCAGGGAAGACUCUGUGUAGCACUAGGCGAAAUCUGCUGUUUCUAUGCCAAUAAUUCAGGAAUAAUACAGGGACAGAGUUAGUUUCCUUAAUAA